GUUUCAGCUCUUCCCUCUCUCUCUUCCUCUCAUUCUCCUCACCAGCCGGCAGUAGACCAGCUGAUGGCAGCCCGUCUUCACCCGCUCCAGCAGCCCGUCUUCACUCCCCUUUGUGCUUUGGAUUUGUCAACUUCUAGCUAGGAUUUCUCUUGUUUCUAUGCAUAAGAGGAGGGCGACUAGCAGAGAGAAUAAAGCUUAAAGAAAGAAGAUAAUGUCUGAAGUUGUUCCUCUGUUGAGGCAUCAGGAUUCCCUUACAGCAGAAAUCAAUAUAUUGUUGUUGAUAAAGGAUUUGUUCCACAAGACUUAAAGAAAUGGCAACUGAUGGUCACAGACUACAAACACUGAAGGGCAAUUUUGAUCCCUCAAACUCUGUCUAAUCUUUUCUCUACUUUCAUUUGUUAACCAAUCAUAGGAGCUCUAUUUAUUUGAUUGAAGUUUUAGUUGACUCUACAAACAAACCAGGCUUAUUGAUUCUGUUAAACCUUCCACUAAAAGGAGUUUUGGGGAUCAAGUUGUAGCAAAAGAAAUAGCUAUUAUGGAGCAUUUUGGUGGCAAGGUUGGGGGGACCUAGGCAUUUGGAUGAUGGUUCAGACGUGUAUCUGGUCAGGGAUUAUUUUUAAUAGUGAGUUGGUGUGUUACAUGUGCUCUUUGUAGGAUGAUGCAGACGGUUGGAAGUGACCAACAAAGUUGUUGGGCUUAUACAGUUGCACAUCAACUGGGAAGUUCAUACAUGGAACUCUGCAGGAUGAGGAUUUGGAGGUCAACAAACAGGAUUGCGAUGCCAACGAGAACAGGGGUGCUGAUGGCUUGGUGAUAGGAGCCAACAACAAAUAACUGACACGGUAAGCGACUGGUGGUAGCAUAACAAAGCAGUUUGUCAGGAACCUUUCAUGUUUUUAAUUUGACUUGCCUCUUAUUUGAAUAUUUAUAUAUGUGAUAAAUGGGAAAGAUACGGUCAUCAACAUGUGAUGAAAUCUAUUCUCUUCUCUUAUCCAGGUGCAUUGCAUUUAGACAUUGAAUUAGGUUUAUUUAAUAAUCUAAUAAUUUCUUCAA